UACGGGGGGGGUAAGCGUUGUUCGGAAUUACUGGGCGUAAAGGGCUCGUAGGCGGCCAACUCAGUCGGACGUGAAAUCCCUCGGCUUAACCGGGGAACUGCGUCCGAUACUGGAUGGCUUGAGUGUGGGAGAGGGAUGCGGAAUUCCAGGUGUAGCGGUGAAAUGCGCAGAUAUCAGGAGGAACACCGGUGGCGAAGGCGGGUCUCUGGGCCGAUACUGACGCUGAGGAGCGAAAGCGUGGGGAGCGAACAGG
rnacentral:rRNA from 1 species